UUGCACUAUCCCGGCCUCUAUAUAUCUCUCUCAUUGCUAAUCGUCGAUUGUCAAAUCUCUAUCUCUCUCACUCUCACUCUCUGUCUUUCAAAUUCUAUAACAAUCAUUGUGAAACUAAAGCGAGAAUCUCCAUAAUAUCACCGGUAUGGGCUCUCAUCGAUGUUAUUCAUCUAACGAUUGCAUUAUCCUGCCUGCACUCCUUUGUUCUCUUCAUUGUUACAUUUUCUUCGGAUCCAUACUAUGCUCAAGUUCAACUCCACAUCAACACCAAGUGUAUAGAGCCAAGCCAAAGUUAGCUCGGAUUCAGAGUUGGAAGUCGAAGACAAAUCUAUGCUCAAGAAACACGCAGACAUGCUCGAAAACUUUGAAUAUUAAACCAAGGCGAAAAGGGGUUGGAAUAGAGAUUCUGGGAUGAGUCUACAUGAUUCAAUUUCCUCUAAAGUUCUCGUUUGAAUGAUCCCUACGUAGCGCUUUGGCUGCAAAGAUGCAAUGUAUGGGGAGUACGUAAAAUACAAUUUCGUAUAAACAUAUGCAAAAACAAAAGAUGCUGAAGAUCAUGACUUAUUUCCGAAGUAAGUAGUCUAGAAGAUUGAUAUGUAUAGAGUGGUUAAAUAUACGUUUGACUUUCUUAAUGAAGUCAGGUUUUUUUUUCCUA